GGGGGGCUGCGGGAUCUCUGCCCCCACCCCUCCCGCCUCGGUCCCGGGAGUCUCUAGACCCCACCGUCCAGACGCCCCCCUUAGGCUCCCGCACCGAGCCCCAGUCCAGGAGCGGCGCUCAGUGGCCCCCAAUAGAGCCCAGCCCCUUCCAGCGCUCAAACUCUUUUGUUUUAAAUGAACUGGAUGGAGCAGCAUGGAACUGACGGGAGGGGGGCGCGCCGGGGGCGCCCGGGGCAUGCCGGGAGUUGUAGUUCCCGCCCUCGGGGGCGCGGGGACGAAUUCCUUGACCCGAGGAAGACAGGGAUGUGCCUUCGGUCUUUACGCUCUGCUGGGAGGCGAAGCCGGGGGUGGGAAGGCAGUCGAGGUCCCUCAUUUUUAAAGAGGAAAGGAGUCAGUGUACAGAAACGGAACGGGUUGAAAACAGGCUAAUGGAGUGUGCCCCCCUCCCAAAACGGGCUCCUUCGCGAUCCCGGCCAGUCUUAGGUCCCUCUUUCUUAUGGUAAUGAGGCGGGGGGAGAGGGCGGGGAGCUGUCCCGGCUGGGCCACUGCGGCUUUCUCUGGCUUUCUCUCUCCUCUUCCCCCUCCCUGCCGCGCUCCCUCUCCGCUCUCCGCUCCCCCCUCCCGUUCUCCCAGAGUCGAUCCCGGCUCCGGGCCGCGGGCAGAGGUUCUCCGCAGAGCAGACAAAGCCCGCAGCGGCGAUGCGUGGAGAACACGGCUCUGCGCGCUGGGGGGAGGGGGUGGGGGGCCGGGAUGGGGUGCCGGGUUGGAGGGUGGGACCCCCUGGCAAAAGACGGGGUCCCCUCUUCCCCAAGCGGCAAGCCAUCCCCCUUCCUCCCUUCCCUCCCCCCAGUCUCGGAGAUCAGAGAAGCACCGACUGGGAGGGUGGACCCAUGGGGCCUGCAGUCACUCUGGCCGACCCUUCGACCCUCAAGAACCUCCAUCAGCGCCAGGGAGCCUGGGCCCGGAACUGCCUCUCUGCCCCAGCAGCACCCUCUUGGUGCCCUUCCCUCCCCUUCCUGUGCCCCAAUUUCCAGAGGGUCUGAACCCACUGACCCCCAAAGAGAAGCCCUGCAGAGCAGAGACCUCACCCUGAGAAGCCUGCACCCCCUGGACAUCUUGACUCCAUCCUUCAGCAUCCUUUGCCUCACUGUAUCCUGACUGCUUGGACCAUCCUUCUCUCCAGCCUCCACUGAACAACAGAUUGGGAAGGGGAAUUUCACAAGGUUUGAGUGGCAGAGAUGUCCUAGGGUAGGCAGAAGGCCUGGCAGCCCCGGGAUGAACUUGCCCCUAGCCCAGCCCUCUGUCCUCUUACCAGCUUGGGGUUUGGUGGGGGCGGGGGGGUGGACAUUGGUAGGGGUGAUUCCAGGAUAUGUGUGCUUGAAGGGAUGUGGCCACGCCUGUGUGGUGGGGGUGGAGGGCUGAGGAGAACAGUGUGGCUCACCCUCUCUUUUGUGAGGAUGGGAGGAGCCUGGAAAGCCCUCUAGCUACUGGCUUUCCUCCUCCUUCCUCCUUACUUAGCAACUGUUGCCUGGUAAAUAUUUGCCCC
rnacentral:lncRNA from 1 species